rnacentral:lncRNA from 1 species
AAUGUUGUAGAGUCGAGUCCAGUUCUGUAAACCUCUAACCUCCAUUCUCACCUUCCCCUCCAGCACUCAUGACUCACCAGCCGAAUCCUAGGAAGUCUGGAGAAAGAGAAGUCUGCAUAAUCUCCAUGUUUGGAAAGCAGAUAGCUCAGAAGCCUCUAGGAAUGUCUGAUCAGCUAUGUAGGCUUAAUUUUCAUUGUGGUGACCCUGUGCUACCAGGUCUUCUGAGCACAGAUUUGGAGUCAGAUUUCUAACGACUUCUUUGUAAUUACUGUGAUGCCACUAGAAAUAUGUUGAUCUUUUGGACCAAGAAACUCAGUACCUGAAGGACAGUGAUUUUCAUGGGGUAAGCACUCUUUUCCUGAGCUGUUAAAAAAAAACAGUGUCUGCUAUGUCACACUGUACUUUCUUUUGAAACAUGAUAAAAGAAUUUGGAUGACAGAUCCCAAUGAAACAUUAAUUCCAUCAGUAUUUGAAAUAUUAAUCAGGAUAUCUUUAUAGAUUAAAAAAUGUGUUCAGAAUGCAAAAAAAAUAUUGCAGCCAGUACACAAGUUGUUUAUAUUUAAUUUAUCUUUUUCCUCCUAUUGAAGCUUACAGAGAAUUGAGAAUAUAAACAUGGAAGAGGAAGAACAAAGAGGGACUUUUUAUCAUUCCUAAUUGAUCAGCUAAAUAUUUAUAUGAAGUUAUCAAACAACUGAGUCUGACCAGCAUAACGAUUUCUGAAAACAGCUUUUCUAGACACUGAGAUUCUUUUACAGAAAAUUAAUAACAUGGAAAAAUUGUAUUUUAAUACUGAAGGUUUAGAAUGUAAUAACCUGGUGAAUCAGAUAUCUAUUAUUUAUUUUUGUAUUGAUAUCUUGACUUUUAAUGCUUAAAAUUCACUUAGAAGGUGCAGGGUUCUCUCAGAAACUGGUAUAUCCGUGUUUUUAAUCAUCUGUAAAGGUGGAUUGAAUGUGCAUACUGAUGUCUGUUGAAAAUUAUGUAUUUGGGGAUAAAAUUCAAU